GGGGCUGUAGCUCAGUUUGGUAGAGCGGCGCGUUCGCAUCGCGUAGGUAGCCCCGAUGAAUCGGGGUCAGCUCCA
rnacentral:tRNA from 1 species